GGUAAUACUUUAAUGCUAAAGAGAAGAGCUAUAUUAUAACAUUAUGUUGACUAUAAUUCAAAGCAUCAAAACACUUGAAGCUAGAAGUCUUUCUUACAUAAUUAUACAUGAACCAUGAAAGUAACUCACAGAAAAGAUCCCAAACUAAACAAACAUGGUUAAAAGUAGGGUCUUUAUCUUUUCAUUGCACUAAGUAAACUUAACAGAAUGCAAUUUCAAUCACAUAUAUAAAGAAGAAAACGAUAAUUUAACUAAUUUUUAACAGAUUUACAUGAUGAUAACACUAAUAUAACAUUCAUCUUGAAACAAAAUCAGAUCUAACAUGUUCCAUCAACCAAAUCGGGAUCAAAUCCUUCUUAUUAUCAUCAAGAAUCUGCAAUAUAAGAAUUUGAAAGUUACCUGGUUUAUAGAAUAAUAAAAUACAGCAGUGCAACGAUAAAAAAUUCAGCAGCAAAUACAGUAGAAACAGCAUCAACUCAAGUGUUAAGACAACCCAGAAAACUCCAGAAAGAUGCUUGAAACUGGUAGCUAUCAACUUCACAAAUUGCCUAAGGGAUCUUUCUAUUUUUCUCAAAGUUUUUGCACUCAAAUAAUACUCACAAAGCUCUGAAAUUUCAGCUUGCUAUAUGUAUUAAGCUGCUGAUUUUUCUCAAAGAUAUGUCUUUAAGCAACUCUCCAAGAUGUGUCUGUGUAAGAUAGAGUGUGUGUCCCUUUUUAUAGGAGAAGAGCAACCCUUUAAAUAGGCAAAUAAAGUCAAAUUUUUUGGACAGAUUUUGGUUCACCAAAAGUCUGACUUUGUGUGCUAAACACUGUUCAAAAGCUGUCAAAAAGUAUUGUAUUUAUCACCACACAAUGACUUUUGAGUUUUGUACUCCAAAGUCUUUGCACAGUAAAAACAACCAAACUUGUACUAUUCCUUCUUUAAUUUCGGCUUUUAUCAACACAAAAUUCAAAUACUCAAAUCCAGUAAAAAUAAAUUCACUAAGAACUUGAAACUUUUAUCAUAAACUAUCAUGACUAAGCGAAUAGCUAUUUCAAAACUAAUGAAUAACUAAUUAUCAGUGAUUAAUAACUAUGAACGACUAAGCUAACAUAGAUUAAAUACAACUAAUAAUAAAAAUAUAAAUAAUAUAAUAAUAAUAAUAAUAAUAAAAAUAAAUAAAUAAAUAAAUAAUCAUAAAUUAUGCUAGACAUAAACUAAAUACAAUACAAUUAAAAAAAAUAGACAAAGAAAAUGAGAAUAGGGGUAUACCAAACGAGGGCGUUCGGGGUGGUCGUCGGAAUUUGGCCGGAUUUUUAGUUGCCAGAUUUUCAGGAUAGAAUUGACAUCAAUAGGUAGGUCUUGAUGAGCUCUAUCCGUUGAUGUAGGUAUUGUGGGGUGGUAGUGGCCAGAACUUCAAGGUUUUGGGCAAAAAGGUGGAGGCUUUCCUAGAUCUAAAAUUCAAUGAGUUUGAGGAGGUUUUGAAGGAUUUUGUUUGGAGAUAUGGAAAGAGAAGGUUGUGGAGAUUACAUAGUGUGAAUUUGGGGGUGUUUGGAGGUUGGCCGCCACCGGUGGGCGAUUUUCGACGGCGGUGGCGGCGGCGGAGAGAAGAGAGAGAGGAGAGAAAGAGUUAUGGGGGAAAUGAGGGAAUUUUUCAGAUUUUUGAGUCUUUAA
rnacentral:lncRNA from 1 species